GUUCAGUCUCGGAGGUAGAGCACUGGAUGGGCUAGGGGGCCUACAAGCUUACCGAACCCAGCCAAACUCCGAAUGCCGAGACUCCAGAGCACGGCAGUGAGACUACGGGGGAUGAGCUUCGUUAGUCGAAAGGGAAACAGCCCAGACCAUCAGCUAAGGCCCCUAAUUCAGGACUAAGUGGAAAACGAUGUGGGACUGCUUAGACAGCCAGGAGGUUGGCUUAGAAGCAGCCAUCCUUGAAAGAGUGCGUAAUAGCUCACUGGUCGAGUGGUCCUGCGCGGACAAUUUAACGGGGCUCAAGUCCUGAGCCGAAGCUAUGGACUUCAGCAUCUGCUGGAGUGGUAGAGGAGCGUCGAUGGUGCAGCGAAGCGGCGGGAGAACCCAGCCGUGGAGCGCCAUCGAGUGAGAAUGCAGGCAUGAGUAGCGAGAGAGGGGUGAGAAAACCCCUCCGCCGAAAAGCCCAAAGGGUUCCUGGGGGAAAGGCUAAAUCCUCCCAGGGUGAGUCGGGAGCU
rnacentral:rRNA from 1 species